AGGAACCAGUUCCUAGGAGCUAGGAACUAGUUUUUCAGAAACUAGACCGUAUGCGAGCCGUUGGUUCGCUUCCAAUCGCUUCUU
rnacentral:tRNA from 1 species